UAAUGUUUGCAAAAUUCCUGUGCCAAGUCUCUUCUAGUCUAAAAGUUUGCUUACUGUUUAAUGUUUUUAUUACAGAAUAGAGUGUCUUGAAUGAGGAAGGUGGCUAUUGAAACCUACCUCGAAAGAAGAAAGGGGCUGUGAUUGGAUGUCCCCGUGGUCCACUGCUUUCGACCCAGAGGAGGAAUGAGAGGGCUCAUAAGCUACUGUCCCACUGAGCUUGGCUAUGAUUUGUGAACAAAACUGUCUUUGUCGAUGCAAACUGUGUCAGCUCAGAAGUCCCGGCCUGCUCAGAUGUUCAAGGCUCCCCAGCUCUCCACUUCUCUGUCUUAAGCCAAUUUCUGUGGAAGAAAUUACUGGAAAGUAAGGAGUUGUGUAAAUCUGCUGCAAAGGACCUCUUUAAAGUCUUAAAAAGCAGAGAUGUCACCUUGAAGACUAAGGUGCACCUGACCCAAGCCACGGUGUUUUCAAUCACUUCAUAAGCUGGACAAUGAAUAAGGAAGACCGAAGAAGAGUUGAUGCCUUUGAGUUGUGGUAUUGAUGAAAAAUAUUGAAUAUACUAUGGACUACCAAAAGGACAAACAAAUUUGUCUUAGAAGAAGUACAGCCAGAAUGCUCCUUGGAAGCAAGGAUGGCAAGACUUUGUCUCACAUACUUUGAGCAUAUUUUCAGGAUAGAUAAGUCCCUGGAGAAGGACAUCAUGGUUGGAAAAGUAGAGGGUCAGCAAAAAAGAGGAAGACCCUCAAUGAGAUGGGCUAACACAGUGGCUGUAAUAAUGAGUUCAAGCAUAAAAACGAUUGUGAGAAUGGCCCAGGACUGGGCAGUGUUUCAUUUUGUUGCACAUAGAGUUGCUAUGAGUCAGAACCAAUUCGGCAGCAAAUAACAACGACAACAACAAGGAGAAAGGAAGACUUGUGUCACCUAUGGUGUUCUUUCCUAAGACCUGUUUGUGGAUGGCAGCAUUAGAAAAAAAAUAUAUCUUCUUAAAAAUAAUCAGCCUUGCUCAUUCAAAAAAAACCUGGCAAUUUCCUCCAUGACUUUCGUAAGUUACAGUGAAAAGGCUUCUUCUACAGCUGAGCACAUGAGUGUGAAAAGCUAAUGGAUAUUUUUCUCAGGAAAUGAAGAGAAACAUUUACUCAAAAUCAUAGUUCCUUUGGAGAAGCAUCGUCCAGGUGUUACAUCUACAAAAUAAAGGCUAAAAAUAUGCUGUUAAAGUUAAGAGUUUAGACUCUAUUUAGACUAGGUUCAAAUCUUUUUUUUUCUUUUGGUCACUUCUGUAUUUCAUCAUCUGUACAAUGAGGAAAGGAGUCCCUGGGUGGUGCAAACAGUUAAGCUCUUAGCUACUAACCAAAAAGUCGAUGGUUUGACCCCACCCAGAGGCAUCUCAGAAGUGAGUCCUGGCAAUCUACUUGCAAAAAGUCACAGCCAAUGAAAACCCUAUGGAGCACAGUUCUACUCUGACACACAUGGGGUCGCCAUCAGUCAAAAUCGACUUGACAGCAACUGGUUUCUUGUUGUUUUCAUGAUAGGGAAAAGUUGUUCUGAGAACUAAAAGAAAAUACAUUAAUUCAACAAAUAUUUGUUAAAUGCCUUGUACUUACCGGGCUUUAUCCUGGGUGCUGAGGGUACAGUGACAAACGAGGCAAUGUCUCUGUUCAUGCAAACUCUCAUUCUACUGGGGGAAUGGCUGACGUAACAAAUAAAUGAACAAGAUAAUUGUAAUUGCCUUUAAAGGGCUCCCCUUUAGAUGGGAGUGGUCUGGGAGGACUUCUAUGGGAAGGUGACGCUUGAACUGAGGUGUGGCUAAAGAGAAGGAGCCAGCUCUGUGAAUAGGAUGGGUUGGGAGUCCAGGCAGAGGGGAGAGCAAGGAUAAAGGCCUAAGCUGGGAUUCAGCUUGGCAUGUUCAAAGAACAGAAAGUAGGCCAGCGUGGCUAGAGUGAUACAAGGUGAAGUCAGAGGGGCAAUUCGGACCAUGGUAAAAAGUAUGCAUGUUUAUGUUUUUAAAAGGCCACUCAAGUUCCUGCGAGAAGGAUGCAUUACAGGAGGUAAGGGGUCUGGAAUACCAAGCAGGAGACAACUGCAGUCAUCACCAUUGAUGAUGGCAGUUUGGGCUGGGGCUGUGGCUGUGGGGGCAUAGAGAGAAGCGGACAGAUUUAGAAUGUAUUUCGGAGGCAGAACUUUCAGGAUGUGGCGAUGGAUUGCACAUGCUGAGUAAAAAGAGGAAACAAGUAUCACUCCUAGGCCCUUCAUUUAAGCAACCAGAUGGCUAUGACAACUAUUAGGUUAUUUAUUGUUUUUCAACUCCAAACUUACCCUUCUAUACUCUGUUUUGUAAUGUCAGGGCUGGGACUCUGCAAAUCACUUUUCUGCUUUUCCAGCUGACUCCCUACUAGUCCCGUCAAUAGUGGGUGUCAGAGGGAGAUGGCAAGUCUCUCAGAAGGGACUUACUCCUCCCCAUCUGCUUCCUCUUCCUGAGAGCGGCAUCCUAGCAAGGCACCCCUGCAGCACUGGUUUUUUUCUGUAGCAGUGGUUGACCCAGUUUGCAAUUUUUCCAACAAUUGCAGAAUUAAAUUUAUGCCUUCUCAGAGAGGCACCAGUAUCACCCAAGAAGAACUCCCUACUCAGAGGUCAGACUUACAGCUUUGAGGGGACCCUCCUUUACAUUUCUAAAUACUGAUAAUUCGGUCUUCUUUCCUUUGCUUCCUCAGCCCUAAGGGUGGUAGUUGCUUCCUGUAGUUGCUGUAUCUCUCUAAUACCUUGUUGUUUUCGUUAGUUGCCAUGGAGUUGGCUCUGACUCACGGCAACCCAAAGUACAACAGAACAAAAUGUUGCCUGGUCUCAGGCCAUCUUCGUGAUUGUUGAUAUACUUAAAUCCAUUGUUGUGGCCACUGUGCAUUUUAGUUCCUUCCAACCUAGGAGAUUAUCUUCCAGCACUAUGUUGGACAACAUUCUGUCAUGACCCAUAGGGCUUUUUUCGAAAAUAGAUCGCCUAGUCUGUCUGGAAGAUUUGCUGAAAUCUGUCCCCCAUGGUGACCCUGCUGGCAUACCACUAGCAUAGCUUCCAGCCUCAUAGUAGCGCACAAGCCACCACAGUAUGACAAGCUGACAGAUGGGUGGUAACCACAACACCUUUAAGUCCUCUUUUUACCCUUUCAGUUACCAGGUAACUGUCACUGAUUUUCUUUUCUUUUUUUUUUUUGGCCUAUUCACACAGUUCUGUUCCAUUAGCCUAUUAGCACACUGUCUAAAUUCCUAUACCUUUAUUUAAAACAAACAAACAAAUAAAUUCAUUCCCAUCGAGUUGAUCCUGAUUCAUGGUAACUCCAUGUGCUUCAGAGUAGAACUAUGCUCCACAGAGUUUUCUUGGCUUUUUUUUUUUUUUCCACAUUC